GAUGAAGAACGUAGCGAAAUGCGAUAAGUAAUGUGAAUUGCAGAAUUCAGUGUAUCAUCGAAUCUUUGAACGCACAUUGCGCCCCUUGGUAUUCCGAGGGGCAUGCCUGUUCGAGCGUCAUUAUAACCCCUCAAGCUCAGCUUGGUGUUGGGGCCUGCUGCACUGGCAGCCCUUAAAAUCAGUGGCGGCGCCAUCUGGCUCUAAGCGUAGUAAUUCUUCUCGCUAUGGAGUCCUGGUGGAUGCUUGCCAUCAACCCCCAAUUUUUCUAUGGUUGACCUCGGAUCAGGUAGGGAUACCCGCUGAACUUAAGCAUAUCAAUAAGCGGAGGA
rnacentral:misc_RNA from 1 species